ACCCGAUGAUCUGCCUCUCUUUGCCAACUUUGAGAUUUGCACGUCAUGCUUGUCUUGUGCAACUGCUGAUGGUUGUGGUGGCUUAGGUGUCCCUGAGCCUUCCUCCUGCCUGUACAAGGCAGUGCUAAAUAAAUCAUAGUGGCUUUCUUUAGGCACAGAAGUGUUCUUUCAUUUGAUCCUGUUAGCGUUCAGGCUCACAACAUUUCUCAAGAGAAAGUCUUUCUGCAUUGCAUCACUGCUAACAUAACAAUUCAUACCGUUUAGCUUAAUACCUUGAUUGUAGAGUACAGCUACCCCUUUUGCAGCUGGAGUACUAGCAGGUGCUUCCCAGUGACUGUUGUCAGAUCUUUGUGGACAGAACUGUGGUUACAUGUAUUUCAUUUUUUCAGGAUGUUAUUUAAGAUGCUCUAAGCCUUCUGGAAGGCCUCACACAAGAUUCUACUUGCUAAUAAACAAUGUGUUAAAAUUUAUUGACAAAGGUAUUUUCACUUAGUGUUUUUACACUUGGCAUGUCACUCUGAAAACCUGUUUCACCAACCUAGAGCUACAGUUUCUAUUUAAAGGGUAUAUUACGUUUUCAGAUAAACUGUAUAAAAAUUGUGAUAUCACUAUCCAUAGCUUUCACUAAGGGCAUACAGCUAUAGCGUUAGAUAAUGAUAGCUUUUUAACAGUGAAAGCAAGUAGUAGCAUUAGGACAGCAAUUCUGAAAAUGGCACUUUUCAAAUUUUGAAAUACCGUGCCAGAUUUAGACUUGGGUUGAUGAGAACAGGUAGUAAGUUAGUUAUUUGAUUCUUGAGUCCUGAACAGAAAUGUCAGCAGACUCCCACCGUAAUGUUGCAUUUUGCUGGAUCUGUUUCUUUUUUUGUCAUUUGCUUUUGAUCUUGUUGGUAACGUUUCUGUUUUGGUGAGAAAAAUUGGCAUUCAUUGGCUUAAUUAGAACUAAGAACAUUUAAGAGCAAUAGGUGGCACUGGCUGUUUUUAUGUGUUACGGAAAAAAAGACUAAGUCUGAGUUAGAAGCCUACUAACUAGAUAAAUGAUGCAGCAAAAGGCAAAUUGAAUGCUUCUACCUAUGUGAAUGUAGGUGCAAGGAACAUCUUUGGAAGAAAAAAAUGCUGGGAACAAUUCCUUGGAAGGUACUGCUUUGGAGAACUUGACAUAGUAUCUUAACAUUAUAACAGUUCAUAAGAUACUGUUUCCAGUGUAACUGCCAUGAUUCUCGAACGCCAGUUUUUCUUGUAGCAUAGUAUUGAUAGCUUUUGAGGUCGGAGAGCUGUUCAUUCUUUUUGUAUGCUGUGGGUGGCAAUACAUGUUGGGCAUGUGAUAUUGAAAAUCAUGUAAAAAGUGAUAUACAGUCUUUUAUUUAUGUUAGUGUUUGAUGGGGGGUGUGUGUGGUUUUUUGUUGUCGUUGUGUUUGUUACCUCUUUAAGUGUUCUGGAACAAGUUAUGGAUAGCCUUCCCCCUCCCCGCCCCCUUUUUCUUUUCUUCUUCAAAACUAUUUUAAUUCUUUAUUGUGAGGGUGGUGAGGCAUUGGCACAGGUUGCCCAGAGGCCCAGAGAAGUUGGGAUGCCCCAUGGCAGGGGGUUGGAACUACAUGAUCUUUAAGGUCCCUUCCGGUCCAAACCAUUCUGUGAUUCUAUGAAUUUUCUACAUGAAGUUUUGAAAGUAUACCACAGAAUGUGUAAUGCUGCUGACUUUUUGUGAAUAUUCUUACUCUUUUCAUUUUACUUUUCUGGGGAGUUGCUGAACUAAAACUUUUCAAAUUUAGGAGAAAAAUACUUCACAAGUGAGUUUUGGAAAGCUUUUGCCUUUGUGUAGAGGGAAACUAGUUUGUAUGAGGACAGGAAGGUUCAGUUGUUAUGUUAGGUAAUACUGACGUACCUGCAAUGUUAGUACUUGUCUUGUUGAGAGUAAUGCUGAAAUUAAAGCCAAAAUAUAAUCUGAAAGACCAUAAUAGGUGGGCUUGGUUCUUAAUAAAUUAAAUAUAUCUGCUAAAAAAUUGCAUUCCUUCAUUAAUUACGAUUUAAAAUUAUGAUUCUCUAGAGAAAGUCCAAGCAGUGAAUCCUACAUGUUUUAGGUUGUCGAAGCUGGCCAGAUAUCAAAUAUUGUCUGCGGGUUUUGGGUCUGUAGUUACACUCUCCACUUACAGACAAUGUAUUUGCCUCCUGUCUGGACAGCAGGGAUGCAGUAGUUUAAAAUGUUAAGAAGUUCAAUCUUUUACCAGAGCUUUCCCAAAUACUUUUAUCCAGAAGUGCCUCAAGGGCAUAAUCCCUUUGUUUCACAAUUUAACUCUUUAUAGGAAGUAAUUGGAAUUGGUCUGUCGCACUCAGCUAGAAAUUCCUUUCAGAAAUCCUGUGCAGAGACUUUCGGAGAGAACACAAAAUAAUACAAUAGGUUUACCUGAGAGAUUCCAGCUGUUUUUGAAGCCUGUCCCUUCAUGUUGCAGGUGGUUAUAUGGCACAGUUACAUAGGUACAUGUAAUUUUGUGAAUGUAAAAAGUAUUUGCAA